rnacentral:rRNA from 1 species
CGGAGCUUGCUCCACCGGAAAAAGAAGAGUGGCGAACGGGUGAGUAACACGUGGGUAACCUGCCCAUCAGAAGGGGAUAACACUUGGAAACAGGUGCUAAUACCGUAUAACAAUCGAAACCGCAUGGUUUUGAUUUGAAAGGCGCUUUCGGGUGUCGCUGAUGGAUGGACCCGCGGUGCAUUAGCUAGUUGGUGAGGUAACGGCUCACCAAGGCCACGAUGCAUAGCCGACCUGAGAGGGUGAUCGGCCACAUUGGGACUGAGACACGGCCCAAACUCCUACGGGAGGCAGCAGUAGGGAAUCUUCGGCAAUGGACGAAAGUCUGACCGAGCAACGCCGCGUGAGUGAAGAAGGUUUUCGGAUCGUAAAACUCUGUUGUUAGAGAAGAACAAGGAUGAGAGUAACUGUUCAUCCCUUGACGGUAUCUAACCAGAAAGCCACGGCUAACUACGUGCCAGCAGCCGCGGUAAUACGUAGGUGGCAAGCGUUGUCCGGAUUUAUUGGGCGUAAAGCGAGCGCAGGCGGUUUCUUAAGUCUGAUGUGAAAGCCCCCGGCUCAACCGGGGAGGGUCAUUGGAAACUGGGAGACUUGAGUGCAGAAGAGGAGAGUGGAAUUCCAUGUGUAGCGGUGAAAUGCGUAGAUAUAUGGAGGAACACCAGUGGCGAAGGCGGCUCUCUGGUCUGUAACUGACGCUGAGGCUCGAAAGCGUGGGGAGCAAACAGGAUUAGAUACCCUGGUAGUCCACGCCGUAAACGAUGAGUGCUAAGUGUUGGAGGGUUUCCGCCCUUCAGUGCUGCAGCUAACGCAUUAAGCACUCCGCCUGGGGAGUACGACCGCAAGGUUGAAACUCAAAGGAAUUGACGGGGGCCCGCACAAGCGGUGGAGCAUGUGGUUUAAUUCGAAGCAACGCGAAGAACCUUACCAGGUCUUGACAUCCUUUGACCACUCUAGAGAUAGAGCUUCCCCUUCGGGGGCAAAGUGACAGGUGGUGCAUGGUUGUCGUCAGCUCGUGUCGUGAGAUGUUGGGUUAAGUCCCGCAACGAGCGCAA